AUGUGUUAUCUCAUUGUACUUUUGAAUUGUAUUUCCCUGAAGAUCAGUAUUGUUAUUUUUUCAUGUGUCUCUUGGCCAGGUAUAUGUCUUCCUUCAGGAAAUGUCCAUUUUUGUCUUCUGCCCAGUUUUAAUCAGAUUUUUCAUUUUUUGGGUGCUGUAUACCUGUGGUGGUGGUGGUGGUGGUGGUGGUGGUGGUGGUGGUGGUGGUGGUGGUGGUGGUGGUGGUGGUGGUGGUGGUGGUGGUGGUGGUGGUGGUGGUGGUGGUGGUGGUGGUGGUGGUGGUGGUGGUGGUGGUGGUGGUGGUGGUGGUGGUGGUGGUGGUGGUGGUGGUGGUGGUGGUGGUGGUGGUGGUGGUGGUGGUGGUGGUGGUGGUGGUGGUGGUGGUGGUGGUGGUGGUGGUGGUGGUGGUGGUGGUGGUGGUGGUGGUGGUGGUGGUGGUGGUGGUGGUGGUGGUGGUGGUGGUGGUGGUGGUGGUGGUGGUGGUGGUGGUGGUGGUGGUGGUGGUGGUGGUGGUGGUGGUGGUGGUGGUGGUGGUGGUGGUGGUGGUGGUGGUGGUGGUGGUGGUGGUGGUGGUGGUGGUGGUGGUGGUGGUGGUGGUGGUGGUGGUGGUGGUGGUGGUGGUGGUGGUGGUGGUGGUGGUGGUGGUGGUGGUGGUGGUGGUGGUGGUGGUGGUGGUGGUGGUGGUGGUGGUGGUGGUGGUGGUGGUGGUGGUGGUGGUGGUGGUGGUGGUGGUGGUGGUGGUGGUGGUGGUGGUGGUGGUGGUGGUGGUGGUGGUGGUGGUGGUGGUGGUGGUGGUGGUGGUGGUGGUGGUGGUGGUGGUGGUGGUGGUGGUGGUGGUGGUGGUGGUGGUGGUGGUGGUGGUGGUGGUGGUGGUGGUGGUGGUGGUGGUGGUGGUGGUGGUGGUGGUGGUGGUGGUGGUGGUGGUGGUGGUGGUGGUGGUGGUGGUGGUGGUGGUGGUGGUGGUGGUGGUGGUGGUGGUGGUGGUGGUGGUGGUGGUGGUGGUGGUGGUGGUGGUGGUGGUGGUGGUGGUGGUGGUGGUGGUGGUGGUGGUGGUGGUGGUGGUGGUGGUGGUGGUGGUGGUGGUGGUGGUGGUGGUGGUGGUGGUGGUGGUGGUGGUGGUGGUGGUGGUGGUGGUGGUGGUGGUGGUGGUGGUGGUGGUGGUGGUGGUGGUGGUGGUGGUGGUGGUGGUGGUGGUGGUGGUGGUGGUGGUGGUGGUGGUGGUGGUGGUGGUGGUGGUGGUGGUGGUGGUGGUGGUGGUGGUGGUGGUGGUGGUGGUGGUGGUGGUGGUGGUGGUGGUGGUGGUGGUGGUGGUGGUGGUGGUGGUGGUGGUGGUGGUGGUGGUGGUGGUGGUGGUGGUGGUGGUGGUGGUGGUGGUGGUGGUGGUGGUGGUGGUGGUGGUGGUGGUGGUGGUGGUGGUGGUGGUGGUGGUGGUGGUGGUGGUGGUGGUGGUGGUGGUGGUGGUGGUGGUGGUGGUGGUGGUGGUGGUGGUGGUGGUGGUGGUGGUGGUGGUGGUGGUGGUGGUGGUGGUGGUGGUGGUGGUGGUGGUGGUGGUGGUGGUGGUGGUGGUGGUGGUGGUGGUGGUGGUGGUGGUGGUGGUGGUGGUGGUGGUGGUGGUGGUGGUGGUGGUGGUGGUGGUGGUGGUGGUGGUGGUGGUGGUGGUGGUGGUGGUGGUGGUGGUGGUGGUGGUGGUGGUGGUGGUGGUGGUGGUGGUGGUGGUGGUGGUGGUGGUGGUGGUGGUGGUGGUGGUGGUGGUGGUGGUGGUGGUGGUGGUGGUGGUGGUGGUGGUGGUGGUGGUGGUGGUGGUGGUGGUGGUGGUGGUGG
ensembl:lncRNA